rnacentral:ncRNA from 1 species
UGGACUGCUAUGAAAGGAAUUAGUAACAAACUUCUCCCUGUUUUAGAGAGCUGAUGGAUGGUGGAAAUCAGUACAAAGUUGUUUUGUGAAUUACCUCCUAGAGCAUCUUUUGUGAACAAUGAGGUAAUCAUUUAUUAGCAAAAGACGGUGUAUACCGUUAAAGUAACUGAGUGAAAACAAUCUUUAGUGGAUUGUUUUAACAAGGGUGGUACCGCGAUCAAACCUCGUCCCUUCU